CUCGAAUGAGACGCGAGGCAGUCCGUCAUGAACGCGAAGAUUUGUCACGCGGAGUUGAAGGAGCUCACAUUUAAGAGACGGCUCGUAAAACGUAAAGUCGUAUAGGUUUGAGCUUAUUGCCUUGAUGCCGAAAUAUCCUUGGAGCAAAACUGGUGUUGUCAAGCAUCAAGGCUGACUCGUGGGCUGCUGGUUAUCUCGACUACUCGACGAAGAGGAGCUGUGACCGGUGUUGGUCUGAAUAAAGUUGCUGAGGCCAUCAAAGCCCUGAUUAAAAAGAAACUCCAUAUACCAGCUCCAGUACUUUCCAACCUGUGAUGACAAGUACAGUGGUCAGCUCUCACUCACCCUCUGAUGAAAUUCGAUGGCGUAGCUGAAAAGCGCAGGGUGGUGGAUGAGGUCGAAACGGCACCCGGGUUCCGGCACUUUGCUUAGAUCGAUUAGAUCCUUGUCAAUCUCAAGGUCCGAUCCAGGAAGGCACCAUGAGGAGUUCCACAUGGAAUUCACCAUGGCUUGAAGAUUCCGAUUAAACUCCUUGUAUGUA